rnacentral:lncRNA from 1 species
UAUACAGUUACAGUUUACAUAUUCCAGUUCAAUUUUAUAGUAUAUACUAAAUCAAAUCAAUUUUCCAUUCUUAUUUAUAGGGAUAAAUAAAGCAUAAAGCACGAUAAUUUAGUGAAUAUCAAGUUUUUAUAACAAUUAACGGAGAUACUCAAAAAUAAAAAUAACGGAGAAACAUAUAACAAUUAAAGGAGCUAAUUAACGGAGACAAAAUUUAUAUAAGGAGCAUGUUUCAUGUAAAACAAAUGGUCAAAGAAGAAAUAUGUUUAAACAAUAAUAAUAUUAAUCGCAAUUCGCUACAGAAACGAACUAUAAAAUAACAAUGGCCAUUAUCCUGACUUGGUACGGGACAUUUUAAGAAAAAAAUGGUGGGUUCAACUGGUAUUGUGGCAUGCCAAACUUCUCGCUUGUAUCGCAAUGUUACAUAUAACAUUAAAAUGACAACAUUCAAUGACACGACUAAAAUACAUAUAAAUGGGAGAACAUAUAGGACAGAGAAACAUACGAAUAACAGCAAACAAAAGCUACCAGGUUUGAAAUAUAAUAUGCCAGACGUGCGUGUCGUCCACACAAGACUAACCAGUGACUCUUAGAUAAAAAAAAGGUUCUAAAGCCGAAACAGGUACAAAGUUGAAGAGCACUGAGGACCAAAAGUUACAAAAAGUUGUGCCCGAUACGUCUAAGGUUUUUUGCCUGGGAUAAGGACAUCCUUAUUUUUACGAAUAAUUCAUACUUUUACAAACAGUAAAUUUUAUAAAAUGACUAUAUAAUAGAUAUACAUGAUAAAACCGAAGUGGUGACUAACUAAAGAAUAAAAACGGAAACAUUACAUAAAACAACCUACUCCAGCACAUAAAAAUACACAGCUGAGUUAGCCAAAGCCCCAACGCACAAAGUGACGACACAUUUGAAAUUCUAAAAAAACACACAAAGUGACGUCACAUUUGAAAUAUUUCCCGAAAAUAAGAUAGAAUUAUGAUUGAUUCUAGAUUAGAUUUGUAAUACUGAUAUUACAUUUAUU